AUUGAACGCUGGCGGCAUGCCUUACACAUGCAAGUCGAACGGUAACAGGUCUUCGGAUGCUGACGAGUGGCGAACGGGUGAGUAAUACAUCGGAACGUGCCCGAUCGUGGGGGAUAACGGAGCGAAAGCUUUGCUAAUACCGCAUACGAUCUACGGAUGAAAGCAGGGGACCGCAAGGCCUUGCGCGGACGGAGCGGCCGAUGGCAGAUUAGGUAGUUGGUGGGAUAAAAGCUUACCAAGCCGACGAUCUGUAGCUGGUCUGAGAGGACGACCAGCCACACUGGGACUGAGACACGGCCCAGACUCCUACGGGAGGCAGCAGUGGGGAAUUUUGGACAAUGGGCGAAAGCCUGAUCCAGCCAUGCCGCGUGCAGGAUGAAGGCCUUCGGGUUGUAAACUGCUUUUGUACGGAACGAAAAGACUCUGGUUAAUACCUGGGGUCCAUGACGGUA
rnacentral:rRNA from 1 species